CUGUUUUCGUCCUUUAUGGUGUGAUAACCUGUAGUAUUUUUUCUUCUUAGUUUAAUAUCUCCUACGUCCCCUAUCUGGCAACCAUAUAUCAAAUGUAUUUUUAGGACAGGGAGAGUAAAAAAGAGCUUGCUCUGUCCACUCCACGCAUUGACCUACUCUACUGUAGAUCGCCGGUGUGUGUGAC